AGGGAUUGUCCCUCCUCUGGCUGGCAGGCGAUACCCAGCUGGGGUAGAGCUCUGCCAGCACAGCAGGGCUUGGGGCUCACCCCCAGCUCCAGGGCUGCUGCCUGGAAGUGCUGGGGCAGGCAGGGUCCUGUCCGCUCCCAGCUCACACAGCUGUGGGGAGCCACGUUCUUCCUGCAGCCCUCCAAGGAAAGGGUUGCCAUAACAUCCUUAAAUUGCAAUUUCCAUCGGCAUCACCAUGGCUUCUGCAGUUUUGUGUCUCAAGAGCCUCCCAUAUCUUUGUUGGAAAUUGGGUUGUGUGUUUCUAACCCUGUUGAAAGAGGAUACAGAGAACACCUGAUGAUUGUCACAGCCUCUUCUGCAAGUUCGAGGGCAGAAGGAUGCUGGUCCAUGUGUCUGCUCACAGGCACGAAUGCUCAGAUCACGCUGGACCAUUACUGUACAAAAGCCUGCAGAAAAGAGGUUGCCGUGUUGCAAACACGAGAUGUACAGCCCUGGACAUUCAGGAAAACAUCUACUGCAUUAAUCUCCCGUUCAGUGCAAGAAACUUCGUCUGGUCUGCAUGUGUAGAGGGAUGGGAGCACAGACAGGUCUGUGUGUGGGGUAUUUGCACCUUGGAGCCAUGGCUCUGCCCAAGCACACGGUAAUUUAGGACGAGAAGCCGCAGGCAGAGCCGGAGGCAGGGCUGCCCUUGGCGGGGGCUGCCCCCGGGCCCAGCCGUGCCCCCGGCGCCGGGCACAUGAGCUCGCCUCUGCUGCCCCCCGCAGCCCGGCUCUGGAACUGUGCCCGCCCCGGCUCCAGAUUAACCCACCUCAUCGGGGGCUCUUCACCCCGCUCACUCAAACCGUGCUUGCCGGCAAUGGAGCUUCUAUUACUUUGCGGAUGGCGAGGAAGUGUUACACCAAUCCGAGACUGAAGGAAGCCCCGGCAAAAUCAAACCCCAUGAGAAAGUGGCUCUGCCCACUUACACAGCUUGAAAGUUCACCCACAGCCUGUCCUCAUUUUACCAGGUUUUCUGUACCAGAUCUGCUCAUUACCAUCUCAUAAUUUUUGGUUUUUCUCCUUUUCUUUUUUACCCCUCUCUUUUUGUUUCUUUCAGGCUUGUAUCAAACAUUAAGCGACUCUAGGGAGUGGCAUACUCCUUGUGAUCUUCGCACAGGUCAUUGAGGAUUUUUUGUAUGAUUAUAUGCCUGGGCGAAGUCUGUUUCUUGAAAUCUUUUGGCUGCAUAGAGGAGCACAGUGUUACCUUACAAAUAACCUCAAAUGAAACCUGUGUUUAACAUCAGCCAUUUUGAGUGCUUCAGUGUAGCCUUUCAGAGACACAAAAUACUUUGUCUGGGAACCGCAGAAUCACUGAACCGUAGGAUGUUAAGGGGCUGGAAAGGAUCUUGAAGAUCAUCUAGUCCCAGCCCUACUCUCCCUCCCCUACUCCAGGGGCUGGAACAUGUCCCACUAGACCAGGUUGCUCAAGGUCUUAUCCAACCUGGCCCUGAACACUGCCAGGGGUGGUGUCAGCAAAACUGAGCAUCCACAUCUUCUCUGGGUAACCUGUUCCAGUGUCUCAUAACCC
ensembl:lncRNA